AGUACCCCGAGGAAAAGAAAUCAACCGAGAUUCCCCCAGUAGCGGCGAGCGAACGGGGAGGAGCCCAGAGCCUGAAUCAGUGUGUGUGUUAGUGGAAGCGUCUGGAAAGGCGUGCGAUACAGGGUGACAGCCCCGUACACAAAAAUGCACAUACUGUGAGCUCGAUGAGUAGGGCGGGACACGUGGUAUCCUGUCUGAAUAUGGGGGGACCAUCCUCCAAGGCUAAAUACUCCUGACUGACCGAUAGUGAACCAGUACCGUGAGGGAAAGGCGAAAAGAACCCCGGCGAGGGGAGUGAAAAAGAACCUGAAACCGUGUACGUACAAGCAGUGGGAGCCUCUUUAUGGGGUGACUGCGUACCUUUUGUAUAAUGGGUCAGCGACUUAUAUUCUGUAGCAAGGUUAACCGAAUAGGGGAGCCGAAGGGAAACCGAGUCUUAACUGGGCGUUAAGUUGCAGGGUAUAGACCCGAAACCCGGUGAUCUAGCCAUGGGCAGGUUGAAGGUUGGGUAACACUAACUGGAGGACCGAACCGACUAAUGUUGAAAAAUUAGCGGAUGACUUGUGGCUGGGGGUGAAAGGCCAAUCAAACCGGGAGAUAGCUGGUUCUCCCCGAAAGCUAUUUAGGUAGCGCCUCGUGAAUUCAUCUCCGGGGGUAGAGCACUGUUUCGGCAAGGGGGUCAUCCCGACUUACCAACCCGAUGCAAACUGCGAAUACCGGAGAAUGUUAUCACGGGAGACACACGGCGGGUGCUAACGUCCGUCGUGAAGAGGGAAACAACCCAGACCGCCAGCUAAGGUCCCAAAGUCAUGGUUAAGUGGGAAACGAUGUGGGAAGGCCCAGACAGCCAGGAUGUUGGCUUAGAAGCAGCCAUCAUUUAAAGAAAGCGUAAUAGCUCACUGGUCGAGUCGGCCUGCGCGGAAGAUGUAACGGGGCUAAACCAUGCACCGAAGCUGCGGCAGCGACGCUUAUGCG
rnacentral:rRNA from 1 species